GUGAAAACUGUGAAGAAAUAAAAAAAGGAGAGAUAUUUCUCAAGGCCCGUUUUUUUUAAUCGAUGCAAAUAUUCCUUCGUUAACCAAUAGACUACUUGGCGUUGGGCUUAAUUUAAAAAAAACUGGACUUCUUUCUAACUUACCAAAAAACAAUUGUUGGCAAACAAGCUGGUGAGAAGCGGACAGUUUGUGAGGUACUUUCUGCAGCUGGAAGGUGAAAAACUAACGUGAUGUACAAUGGAAACUGGCGAUCUGACAGAGCAACAUGACGCUUUGUCUAUCACUAACCAGCUAAUCUCCCCAGGGAAGGGAAGGGAAGGAAGGAGAAUCGGCCUCUUUCCAGAACAUCUUUAAAAAGAGAGGAAUAUCUGCAGCCGAGGUACUCGUUAUAUAGACUAUGAGCCAACUGUAGCCUCUGUGAGCCUCUGUUGCAGUCAUUACAAUCCCCCGGAGAACAAUAAUGUGAAAGAACGGAACUUUCCAAACGACCCCAAUGGAAGAAACUGAUGGAGAAGAUUUCACUAUUUUAAAACUUUUAACUGUAACAAUCAAACCAAAAUCAACAAAAAUUUAACAUGUACUGACAGUCAAAUUGUAUUCAACAGAAACUAUAGAUUACUGUAUAAAUAGUUGAUAUAACAAAGACAAAUCUCAGAUUUUUCAGGCAGGGCCUAUGGCACAUAUAUGGCACCACAUGCAGUCCCAAUGCCUCCCAUAACUUAUCUUCCUGCAGUAGAGUUCAACCACUCUUUAUCACGCAGGCUUUGAUCCCCAAGUCGCCUUCAAUAACUGCUUUACUCCAUCCAAGAUCCACAGAUACGACUAUCACCAACAGGGCACACUUCAAUAGAACCUCUUUCACUUGGGUCACGACAGUCCUAGUAGUGUAGUUUUCCAAAGUCCCCUUAAUUUGCCCACUCAGUAACAUCCCAGUAUAUGGUAUGGUUAGCUCUGAAUAAAACCAAACACCCAGCUCUUUAAUGUGCCUGGAUGGCUCACACAGAUUUUAGGUUUCAGUCCUUUCUGCUGGCUCCCACAAACACAGCUUCACCAAGAGCCUCGGUGUCUGCUCUCUUUCCACUGAAAGGAAUCUAAACUUUUGAGAGGCCUGCUUGUUCUGACCACAGGCUGAAACCUGACUUCCCAGCCUCUUUAUUUUUCCCAAUUAACUUCCGUUUCUUUAGUAACUGACGGCACAGGUUCAUUUCUCAGAAGUUUGAUGUCACAGCCAGAAAAUCUAAUUCAGAAACCCCACCGACCAGACCUGGACCUGGUCUCUGUUGCAGCUAGGGACUGUCUCAAAAAGUAAAGGCUUUGAAACCAUUUUAUCACACAGCCCUUGGACUGUGUGUGAUCCAGUCUCAUAUUUACUGCCCUAUCCAUGACUUUGCUCAAAGUCUUGGUCUCAAUUCGAAGGUGAUUUGAGUGCCUUUGACAAGCUCUGCAAUUUAUUACAAAGAACUCUCUGACAAGACACUAUCAGCUAUUGAUGUUCUAACACCCACAAUUAUGUUACCCCCCCACUCUCAUUCUGGCUCCCAUGAAGAAUUGGAUGUGCUGGACAUCUAGAUUUGGAGCAUGAGAAGUGGUAGAAGAGAGUUUGUGUAAUACAGAAAACUGCAAGUGUCCUUUAUUUAAAGUAUAAAUGUCGCCAAUUUAAUCCUGGGAGCUGUCAGUAUUUGAAAAGUAUGCCUGUGCAGCAAAGUGCUUGCAACUUCAAAAAAAAAGCUUUAUAAAUUUUGCUAAAACUUUCUGUAAAAGGCAAAAGGAAAGUUUUUUAAGAUAACAUUUAAUUUGUGAUAUUUUUGCAAUUGAACUGGAGCUUGUUUGUCAUUUCUUUAUGUUGGUAUGGCAUGAGGUAUCGUUUGAUCCAGCUUAUCAGUUUGAAACAGGAACACUUGUCAGACACUAUGGAUCCUGAAUCUGAGCACUUUGCCCUGAUUUAGCUGGGACCAAAUCUACCUCUUGGUUGACUUCGCAACUUCAAGCAUUUAAUGUGGGAGUGUUGACAAAGUCCUGGUAGGAUUGUUGUGCACUUACUGACUAUCCAGGGAUAACCUCCCCAGUUCCAUGUUCUAAUAUUUAGUUUAAUUUAUGAAUUGCCAAAAUGAGAAACUAUUAAAUAGAUAUUUGUGCCAACAGCACACAAUUAUGGCAUACAAACUAUUUUUGAAAAGCAACUGCGUGACCUCAGUUAUAAUGUAAAUUGUAACCAUUUAUGAUAUUUCUGUUAAGUUUGUUCAUUCUUGGGGUUUUACAGCUAUUUAUUGGAUCAACAGUUAAUGUUUGUAAGCAAUCAUAAAAGAGAUAAUUGGACAGUUAAAUGAGGAGGAAAGACAAAGGCCCAGUUAUUUCUGGGUGAGGGGUUGGCGGUGGGUAAAAUCCUGAAAAUUCCAGGAAUGGAAAUGAUCUGCUGGCUGAAUUUAAUGACAGAACCUCAUUUCCCUUUUUAAAAUUCUGUUUCUUGCUUGGCAGUGGUCAGAUUGACAGUCCAGUUCCCAGCCACCAGGGAAGAUUGCAGGUUUUGGGGUGAGAGGGUUGUGUGCUUGGUCAAUCAUGGUAAAAGAUUUGUUUGUGGGGUCGAGGGGUGGGGUAAACGGGCAGGGGAGAGCCCUCUUGCUCUUCCUGGCCCAAAAGCAAUGCUCUAAACAACACUUAACUGCUGGAUGCAACUGCUCUCGCCUUCUUUUAGCUGCCAGAUUUCCCGAGCCCUGGGAAACAAUGUUAAAUUUAAAUCAUUGCCAAAAUAUCAGGAAUUAAGCUUCAUUUAAAUAUAAUUACAAACCCACCUCUACAGAGUGGGUUACUUAGAUCUAGUUAAAAUGGAAACAGGCAUGUUUGGGCUGGGUUUUGCAAAUUCUCUGAUUUUAACCACCACCCUGACCCUGGAUGUGAAGGGGAUAAAAUUCACCCCCAUCCACCCUCACCAAGAAUCCCUUUCUGAUAGUGUGGCUGGUGUUGCUAUUUUCUUGCUGCAUUAAGAAACAAAAUAACACGGAGAAAUGGCAUAGGGGCUGGCACUUCUAGGGCAUUGAAGUCACACAAUUGGCUGGCAUACUGCUCUAUUACAGCUUUUAAUUCAAUAAACUAUGAUUCAUAAAUGACA